GCCCAGGCAGGCGUGCCCUCGGCCAGAAGGCCUCGGGCGCAACUUGCGUUCAAAGACUCGAUGGUUCGCGGGAUUCUGCAAUUCACACCAGGUAUCGCAUUUCGCUACGUUCUUCAUCGAUGCGAGAGCCGAGAUAUCCGUUGCCGAGAGUCGUGUGGAUUAUAUAGCAUUGCAACCCAGGGUGCAGCCAGCAAGCCAGCCRCGUMCCCGGGUUAGGCACAGUGUUCCUUGACGCCUUCGGCGCCGUGGGUUCUUUUACCCCGAGCC
rnacentral:rRNA from 1 species